rnacentral:lncRNA from 1 species
UCUUGACGUAGUUUACAUGAUUGGUUUUGAACUCGUCUCGUUUUAAUAAUUUGAAUCGAAUUUCAUAAUAUCGUAUCGCCUGAUAGGAAUCUCAAACAAGAAAAAGAUGCCUUCGGUUUGUGCAUAUAAUCAUAGGCAGAAGUAGACGGGGAGUAUUGUUAAUUCAUUGUUGAUGGUCUGUUCCACAAUUAUUUUUAGGGCCAUAAUAGUAAAGUAAUAUAAACAAAAGAAUAAUAAUCAGAUUCCAACCAUCUUUGGUUGAAGCUGCCCAACCACCACCCAAUCAACAAAAGAGGGGAGAAGAUUAUUCAACCAAUGCACUAUGCUACACACCACACGCUUUUUUUUCUCAUCUAACUUCUCUUCUUGAGAGAGAGAGAGAGAGAGGGAGGAGAGAAAAGUAAGAAACAAAAUUCAUAAAAUUCAUAUUACAAAAUUUUUUCAAAAAAAAAGGAGUGAGAGAAGGAGAGGAGGGGAAAAAAAUUAGAAAUCGAAGAAAUUAAAUCCUCUAAAUUGGCUCAGCUCAGCUAGCCGUCGAAGCCGGUUCGGCUCCAGACGGCGUCGCGGACGCGGGAGGCGUCGCGGCCCUUGAGCGUCCGGCCGACGCCCUCCACCACCGACGACCUCGCCUGCCGCCGCGCCAGGUACACGUGGGGCGGCACCCACCCGUCGCCGUCGUUGGCCUCGGCCUCGGCCUCGCGGCGCUUCUCCUCGG